CUUCCGCGCGAGCCGUUUCGCGCUCCUGGCGCCGCUGAGGUGAUGCCGCGUGGCCGCCUCACGGGCCGCGCUCAGCGCUGUGUGCGUCCGGCAUGAGGCAGUGCCUCGUCCCCAGCCUCCAGAAUCGUCCUUCCGAGGGCACUGCGCCGUGUUCCUGAAGGUCUGAGGGAUGCCCUAUCGCUGACUCUACCAAAUGGGUGCUAUAAGAGUACUGUGUCGUGUUGGCAGAGGUCUGAGGCACUGCAGUGUGAGGCAGCCAUCAAAACCAGCCUUCCACGAGUUGUGUUUGUGCAGGCCCGAGGUGCUGGCCUGCCACUUGGACUUCAGAACGUGCCCUCCAGGAGCACCGUGCUCUGCCUGCCCCGGCCUGGGGCGCUGCUGGAUCACUCGGCCUCUCAAGGUCAGCCCUCUGAGAGCACUGCAGUGUGUUCUUAUGGGCCUGAGGCACUGCUCUGUGCCUGGCCAAAUGUCGGCCCUCCAGGAGCCCUCCCAGGCUUGCACAGCCCUGAGGUGCUGCAGCGUUACCUCAGUUCUUCCCAGUGCUUCUCAGUCCGCUUGGAGGCUGCUUGCUGUCCCACUGUGGGCACAGCUUUCCAUUUCCCUGCUGAAGGAUCUGUUGGGUGGUGCUGGGAUACUGCAGGGGAUUUUGGGUGAGGGUACCAUGCACACCGCCAGCUUGGUUCCUGCCAUCACCCAGGAGAAGGGCUCUGGGCCAUCCCUGGCCUGCUGUGCUGUUGCUCAGCGUGUCUGAGGCAGGCUGUGAGGCGUAGGGUUCAGAAUUCACAUCACCAGACUUGUUACUGCUGUACUGCAGGCCUCCAGCAAGCACAAGGUGAACUACAGCCGUCUUGUUUUCUCAGCAUGCCAGUCUCCAGCUACACAAACUGGGCUGUUCGGAGCUGUGGAUGAGGAUAAAACUUCAAAAAACUGGGAUUAUGUCCAUUAGAUAAGCAUUUCUUGCUAGUAAAAUACGGCUGUAAAGCAGUGAGUCUGCAUUAAUUUGCAGUACUUCACAGUGCAGGACUUUGCUCUCAGACAGUGCAUACCAUUCAGAAGAGAAAUCUGCCUGUCCACUGUGGUGGGAACCCUGAUAUGGACGAACUGAGCUCCCCAGGCUAACCCAGAUAUGAGUCCCUGAUGGUGACCUGCAGCUGGGGAAGUCCUUCCCAGCUGCUGCUGGCUGUACAUGGAAGGCAUCUGUAUGGUGCUGUGCUUCAGUGCUGGAAUGCUGAACAGAACAUCACGUGUGAGAAGCAGCUCCAGGACCACGCAUUUGACAGACCGGGGUUAAAGAACAUCUCUGAAGCCUUUCCGCUCAAUGUCUUCAGCUCCGGUGUUUCCAGGAAGGUUCUCCAGCAGAGCCAAUUCACGUCCUGCUUUUGUUAUCAUCCCAAGUGGUUUCAGAGGGAUCGCUGAAGAGCUUUUAUUUUGGUUCGGUUCCAGGUUACUGCCUGCCAUCCUCCUCCACUCACUGCAGCUUCUGUAACCCUGAGGUAUGAGGAGAUAAAAUCUCUUGCUCUGGAGCGAGGGUGCUUUCUGAAAAUGGGGAUGGGCACAAAGCAUUUGCAUGGGUGCGACUCCUGGGUGAAAAGUUCUAUACAAGAAAGGGCAGUGAAAUAUUGGAGGCUGCCCAGAGAGGACUGUUGCCCCAUCCCUGCAGACCCCCAGGGUCAGGCUGGAGGACUGUGAGAAGUGAUGGAGCUGUGGGCCUCCCUGUGCACUGCAGGCAGUGGGACCAGAUGGCCUCUGGGGGUCCUUUUCAGCUCAAACCAUUCUGUGAUUCUAUUCUGUGGUUCUAUGAAACCUCAGCUUUGUGCUAAGUGGGUGGCUUUUUCUCCAUCGUGGAAUAUCCAUUCUUCUAGAUAAACCUGGAAGGACAACUCAAACAUCCCAGUGAUAAUAAUUUCUCAAUAAUUCAUUUAUAAGAUGCUGCUUAACUGAUCAAAGGCACCCAUGCUGUGCCAGGUGGUGGGACUAUGGGCAGCACUGCACGGCCAGUGCCACUGAGCAGCUCCAGAAGUACCACCAGGAUGGUGACCAUGAGCACGACCAGCAUCACAUGGACCCACCAUGGGUUGACCCAAUGGCAAACUUGGCACUGGGACAUCUUGUAAAGCAUGUCAGGAUGGAGGUCUGGAUGCAUCCUUGCUGUGAGUGGUGCUGUGUUGGAUUGGUCACACGUGGGUGGGGAAUGGCUCUUUGGGAUCAAUCAAACAGACGGGCAGGUGGUCCCACCUUCUCAUAGGUGGUGCUGGGCAGGUGGCAGCUAUAAGAGCCUGAGCAUGAUGCAGGAGGGUUUGGAUGGCGUGGGAGUGGUUCUGUUCCUGCUGCACAGAAGAGGCCCAGGACAUCCUACAGCAGAUACCACAGAUACCACUUCUUUGGGAUUUCUUCUGCAGGUGGCAGCUGCUGGCCAUGAGCCUUUAGAGGUGAACAGACCACCAACUUCAGUCCUCUACCAUCACACCCAGCACCUCCAGCCCCUUCCUGGGCAAAGUCUUUGCAAUCACAGCACCCAUCACGGGAGCAGUUGGACAUUUCAGGUUGGAUAUGAGGAAUAAUUUCUUCUCAGAAAGAGCAGUGCUGCAGUGGCACAGCUGCACAGGGAGGUGGGGGAGUCCCCAUCACUGGAGGUGUUCCAGAGCUGUGGAGAUGCGGCACUGAGGGCUGUGGGCAUGGUGAGGUGGGCUGGGGUUGGACCUGGAGAUCUUUGAGGUCUUUUGCAGUCUUAUUGAUCCUAAUGUUCUGUGAUUUCCUUCAGCAGUCAUCACAGCCAGCUUCUGCCCGUGUGUCCUCAUGCCAACUGUCUUCUGGCUUCAGCAGCUCUUCUCCCUUCCGUGUGUUUAGUUCCCAAUGUAUUUAUAGCUGAGAGCAAUGUUCCCUACCGGGUUCUGCUCUGCUGUCGGGGCUCCCUCCUCGUGGUCUCACUCUCAAACGCAGGCAGUCAGACCCCACAUUGUCCCCUCCAACCACAGCCUUAUCCCUGCCUUACACAUGGGUCAUGCUUCUCUUCUCU